rnacentral:tRNA from 1 species
GGGCCAAUAGCUCAGUCCGGUAGAGUACUCCGCUGGCAGCGGAGGGGUCUCGGGUUCGAAUCCCGAUUGGUCCA